UGAAGAGGGAAACAACCCAGACCGCCAGCUAAGGUCCCAAAGUCAUGGUUAAGUGGGAAACGAUGUGGGAAGGCCCAGACAGCCAGGAUGUUGGCUUAGAAGCAGCCAUCAUUUAAAGAAAGCGUAAUAGCUCACUGGUCGAGUCGGCCUGCGCGGAAGAUGUAACGGGGCUAAACCAUGCACCGAAGCUGCGGCAGCGACGCUGAUGCGUUGUUGGGUAGGGGAGCGUUCUGUAAGCCUGCGAAGGUGGCCUGUGAGGGUUGCUGGAGGUAUCAGAAGUGCGAAUGCUGACAUAAGUAACGAUAAAGCGGGUGAAAAGCCCGCUCGCCGGAAGACCAAGGGUUCCUGUCCAACGUUAAUCGGGGCAGGGUGAGUCGACCCCUAAGGCGAGGCCGAAAGGCGUAGUCGAUGGGAAACGGGUUAAUAUUCCCGUACUUGGUGUUACUGCGAAGGGGGGACGGAGAAGGCUAUGUUGGCCGGGCGACGGUU
rnacentral:rRNA from 1 species